UCCUAAUCAUUAACUCUUGUAUCAGCCUUUUGACUGAGGGGAGGCCUGGGAGACUAAAGGAAAAGUUUUUUAUUUCAAAACACAAGGACUCAGGAGCUUGUACAUGGUUUCACUCUUGUACUUGCAAAUAUUCUGAAGGCUUCAAGCUCUGGAGACAGACUCUCAGAUUGCUCUGAAGAACUGUCUGAAGAGAUAAGGGAAGAGCCAGGAUAUAUAGGAGGGGAUGGCCACCAAAACUAGUACCAUCUGGUCUCAGCAGAUAUUAAGCUUGAUUUGUUUUGAGGGACAUCAUAACAGCACUGAAACAGGGGAUGCACACCAUAAGGAUAUCAGAACUUCUGUGCUUAAAAUCAUCAGUUUUCUUGUGAAAGAACUGAAUGAAGACAACAUGGACGCUGUUGUAAACCAGGCAACAUUUCAGAACAUGAAGCUUCAUCUGCAAGCUAAUUAUGUUUGUGUUCUGAAACAAAAUCAGGGCAAUAACAAAUGAGGAAAAUUUCCUGAGCAAAGGUACCAUCAGAGACUGGAAGCAUCACUUGACUGUGGACCAAAUGAAGUAUUUGAGAGAAUAUUCCAAAGGGAGAUGAAAGAUUUUCCUUUGAAGUUCAUCUGGGAUACAAAUGAGGAGUAGAAUCAGUACAAAAAAAUCAUAUAAAAAUCUGCUAACUAGAGAGCAUAUUUUAAUAUACAACACUAAUUUGUGAUUCUUAUUGGAAUGUUAAUUAUAAAAUUUUGUUGAUAAACAAAAUGAGUAAACCAUGCUUAGGUUAGCUGCCAUGAAUUUGAAGAAAUUUUGAAAUUUCAGAAAUUAAAAUGAUUUGGGAGACAGUCUGCAUUGACAGUCUAUAUGAUAAAAAGAAAGACUGAAAGCAUGCCACAUAAAUUAUAAAUGUCUUGAGAGAAUUUUCUCUGUGUGUAUUUAUUCUUUAUCUACAAUUAAAUUUAUGAUUAAAUAAAGAUUAAAAUUCCUUUCACUCCUCUAA